UGAAAAUACCUCAGUGCAAACACGUGGUGUUGCCAAGCACUUUUCCAAAGUAUGGUACACGGGAAAAAAACCCCAAAAAACUCACUCCCAGUUCCCAGAAAAACAAUGGGAAGAGAUUUGACCUUCCUCAACACACAUCCGUUAUCUUGGAUAAGCCUCCAGCAUAUCCACAGACCUGAACUCUGCCAGCCUUCCCACAAACUACAGGCACUGAGAGCCCUUUGCUGUGGGGUAUUUAUAUUUCUUAAAAGCAGUGCCAGAUCCUCCCUGCCCUGGAAACCCAAACUCCUCUCAUUUCCCUGCUGUCCUAGGCGGAGCGUGGCUCCGAUCCCACUCCCUGGAACCAGAGGUGACGCUGCCCCUGGGCACUGCUGUCCCACUCUUGAUGCAUAGUGUGACCUGUGAGUAUCAGUCUGGAAAACCCAGAGACAAAGGAUCAGCCUGGUCAAUUAUCAAACACAUGGGAAAGAUCCAAGUCCAGAGAGUCCCAGCGGCAGGAGCGCCGUGCCUGGCGGGGAGCGUUUCACAGCUCAGCCUCACGGAACCACGUGAGGGGUGAGCAUUCAGCAGGCAGCAAUCCUCCCGUGGGAGUGGCACAUGCCAGUCAGGUAGAACUGGAUGGUUCUGGGAUCCUGGGGAGGUGCCAGUUCCGUGAGCAGAUCUGCUCUCCUUUUGGAUGAAUGGCCUUGAAAAAGCUGCUCUGACUCAGCGCGUGUUUGCUCUGCGUAAACGGGGAGCCGUGCUUGUGCAUCAAUUCAGGAGCAGGCUCAGGGAAUGAGACAUCCCACUGCUGCUUCCAGCAAAUCCAGCUUUGGGAGCCAAUGGCUUUCUCAUUCAGUUCCUGCAGCUGCUCUCUGUCCAGGGGACAGGAUGGAGGACAAGGUCUGGGUGAGCCCAGGGACAACCAGUUGCACAGCUACCAGAACAACUCCUGGGAUAAAGCCUUGCCUUGAAGUCUGAAUCCAAAGGGAUGCAAUUUAACUCCAGGAGAGGUUGUCAGCCUGAUCUACUGUCCUAGAUUAUGCAGAUCAAAUCAGAUGACUGGACUCACUAAUCAUAAAUCAUAAUUCACACUCCAAGAGCAGUGAGAGAUUCAUUCACAACAACUCCUGCCUGACUCCAGGUCUUGGGAACCAGUCUCCCAAUUUUCACCUGGGAAAGGGAUAAUGCAGCAAAGAAGAGCCAGAAUCCCAAAGGACUGGUCUGGAUGCCCCCUGCCCCAGCAGUGUGUGCUGUGUGUCCCUUCAGGCUGAGAAUUCCAAGCCCAAGCAGCAGCAUUUGACAGAAUCCCAGAACAGCCAGGACUGGAAUGGAUGUCUGGAGCUCAUCCAGUCCAACCCAGGAUCAGCCAGAGCAGGUGACACAGGAAUGCAUCCAGCUGGGUUUGGGAUGUCCCCGGAGAGGGAGACUCCACACCCUCCCUGGCAGCUCUUCCAAUUCUCUGCCACCCUCAUGUUGAAGUGGCUCUUGUGUUUUAAUUUAUGGCCAUUGCUCCUCAUCCUGCUGCUGGGAACACCAGAAAGAGCCUGGCACCAUCCCCUUGGCACUGCCUUGGAGAUAUUUAUGUGGAUUGGUGAGAGCCCCCCUCAGUCUUCCCUUCUCCAGACCAGAGGGCUGGGAAAGAGCCGGCCUGGAAAACAGGAGAGGGAAGGGCAGGGAGAAAGCUGAACAACUGGGAGAGAAAAGGCAUGGAGGAAACAGGGAGAAAGCUGAACAAUUGGGAGAGAAAAGGCAUGGAGGGAAGGACCACUGCUGAGGGCAGCAGAGCGGAGGCUGAGGGCAGCGGCGGGAUCGAGGGUCGGGGCUCGGGAUGGGGCCCGGGAUCGCCCUCACCUCAGCCGAAGGGGCUCCCGCUGCCCGGGGGCUGCGGCCGCGCUCUCCGCCCGCAGCGCCUCCAC